UUUUCGAUUAAGUUGGCAUGGCAACAUAUGUUUAUAUAUUUUACGAGAAUUUUUUAUUUUCGAGUUGUGUAAGAAAUUUUUCACGUUUCAGUUUAUAAUCCGUGUAAAAAUAAAAACUAUAGCAUAAUAUCUGUUCCUAGUUUUUCGUUUUUUAGUAGGUGUACAUUAUAAACUAUGGACCCAAUAUUCCUACAUUUGCUACAGGAAGCAGAAGAUGAAGAACGACAAAACCAAUUACGUUUGGAGAGAAGAAUUUUGCGAGAUGAACAAAAUGCUUUCGAAUUGCCCGAACGAGAAUUCCAGAAAUGCUUCAGGCUAAGUCGACAGUUGGUACAAGAUCUCAUUCGUGAACUUACCCCCCAUAUGAACGCAGGAACUAGAGCAACAAGAGUUACAUAUCCAUAUCAGGAUCUUUGCAGCCCUAAGUUUUUUUGCUCACGGCUCAUAUCAGAAGGCAAGCGGAAAUGAAAUGCAUGUGGUCCUAUCACAACCUGCAUUUAGCCGGGCACUAUAUGAGGUGUGUUUGGCUCUAGAGGCCAUUGCCCAUAGGUGGAUAAAAUUUCCCAUAACUGAAGCCGAAAAGCAAGAAAAAAAAGAAGAGUAUGGCCCGGUUUGGAUUUCCAGGGGUGGUAGGCUGCAUCGAUGGCACUCAUAUUGCCAUUGUUGCACCACGAGAAGAUGAACAUUUAUAUUUCAAUAGAAAACAAUAUCAUUCGAAGAAUGUACAAUUAAUAUGCGCCGCGAAUCUAAUGAUAUUAAAUGUUAAGUCCAAUUAUGGUGGUGCAUUUCUCAAUGCGUUUAUUUGGAGAAAUUCCAACGUAAGGACACAUUUAGAACAAAUGUAUGAUCAGGGUGAUCACAAUUCGUGGCUACUUGGAGACAGUGGCUACACUCAAGAGCCAUGGCUUAUGACUCCUAUUCAAGGUGUGCCCAGAGAUACUCCCGAAGGUAGAUAUUUACGGCAGCUUUAACAAGUACCAGAAAUUGUGUGGAAAGAUGUAUAGAAGUAUUGAAAAACCGAUUUCGCUAUCUACUGAAGGACAGGGCCUUAAAUUAUGACCCCUUCAAAGCCGGCCAAAUCAUCAAUGCAGUUAGUGUUCUACACAAUAUGUGUGUUAGGGCUAAUCUGGCCAUCGAAGGUGAUGAAGAGGAGGAACGUGAUGACGAAGAAAAUAUUCCUGAUGAGGAUAGAGUUGGUACUGCAAGAAAUGUCCUUGUACAAGGGCAGGCGAGAAGAGCUAAUAUAA